rnacentral:rRNA from 1 species
CACGGGGGGAGCAAGCGUUGUUCGGAAUCACUGGGCGUAAAGGGCGUGUAGGCGGUCAGGUAAGUGAGACGUGAAAUGCCCCGGCUUACCCGGGGACCUGCGUCUCAUACUGCUUGGCUUGAAUACGGGAGAGGGUGUGGGAAUUCCUGGUGUAGCGGUGAAAUGCGUAGAUAUCAGGAGGAACACCGGUGGCGAAGGCGCACACCUGGCCCGAUACUGACGCUGAGGCGCGAAAGCUAGGGGAGCAAACGGG